rnacentral:rRNA from 1 species
GACGAACGCUGGCGGCGGGCUUAACACAUGCAAGUCGAACGGAAAGGCCCUGCUUUUGUGGGGUUCUCGAGUGGCCAACGGGUGAGUAACACGUGAGUAACCUACCCUUUGCUGUGGGAUAACUUCAGGAAACUGCGGCUAAUACCGGCUAAGAACUCCUGCUGCAUGGUGGGGGUUGGAAAGUUUCGGCGGUCGGUGAUGGACUCGCGGCUUAUCAGCGUGUUGGUGGGGUAGUGGCUUACCCAGGCUUUGACGGGUAGCCGGCCUGAGAGGGUGACCGGGCACAUUGGGACUGAGAUACGGCCCAGACUCCUACGGGAGGCAGCAGUGGGGAAUAUUGCACAAUGGGCGGAAGCCUGAUGCAGCAACGCCGCGUGCGGGAUGACGGCCUUCGGGUUGGAAACCGCUUUCGCCUGUGACGAAGAGUGAGUGACGGUAAUGGGUAAAGAAGCACCGGCUAACUACGUG